rnacentral:rRNA from 1 species
UACGUAGGGUGCGAGCGUUAAUCGGAAUUACUGGGCGUAAAGCGUGCGUAGGCGGUUCGUUAAGUCAGCUGUGAAAGCCCCGGGCUCAACCUGGGAAUUGCGGUUGAAACUGGCGAACUAGAAUCUGGCAGAGGGGGGUGGAAUUCCACGUGUAGCGGUGAAAUGCGCAGAUAUCAGGAGGAACACCGGUGGCGAAGGCGGGUCUCUGGGCCGAUGACUGACGCUGAGGAGCGAAAGCGUGGGGAGCGAACAGG